AAUCAAUGUAAAAUAUACACAAACCCUCAUAAAGUUUAAUUUAACCUCACUUUGCUCUAUAUAGACUUUAUUAACAGGAUUAAAAUGUAUGUGACACCAGUUACGAUAUUAUGUUUCUUGGUAUAUUUCAGGAUUACUGAUUGUAACGAUAUUUCUAUGUCUAUCAAACCGCAAUUAUCCUUGGAAAACAAUUCGGUGUCGUUUAAGUGUAGCGCAGGAUAUGAUGCACUCACGCUUGCUUUCAGUCAAUCAUUUAAAACGGUAGUCUAUUCAGUGUUUAAUGAUAGCAGUUGUGUCAUACGCAUUGGUACCAGACCAGAAUUUGUUGAUCAGUGCACUUGUGAUUAUCAAACAAAAAGCCUGGAAUGCUUCAUUGCAACGAUAUCAAGAAGGGAAAAUGGAUUGUGGCAGUGUGAAGACUUUUUCGGACCCACGUUAAGUACCUUUGUGGCAUUGAGAGUGACAGUACCAAUACAAAAAGCUACCAUACAAUCGGAUGUACAGAAUGUGACUAUAAACGAUACCAAACAGUUAUCCCUGAUAUGUGAAGCUCCCAAUGGAAUUCCGGUGGCAAAUAUCAGUUGGUUCUUGGACAAACAAACGCCCAAUCAGUCAACUGAUGAUACAGAUAUUACAGAGUUUUCUUCGGUCACGAUUUGGUCUAAAAAUGAUGGAACAAAAACUGCUGAAAGCACGCUUUCUUUUAACGUAAGUGCAGAACAUAAUGGAAUGACACUCUUCUGUACGGCGAAUAACACUGCAGAGGUGAAUGUGUUCAGCAGACGGAUUCAUCUUAAUAUUAUAUACAACCCAGAUAAACAUGUUCUCGUUAGCAAUCAAACACAUGACGUUGACUUUUACUUGAUACGAAAUUCCAACACAAAACAGUCGUUGCAAUGCCAAGUAGACGGUGGAAAUCCUAUGGCAACUCUAAAAUGGUCUUGCUACGAUGGUAUUCAAAGCAACGGGAAUUCACAGUCCAGUGCUAUAAGUACCGUCACUUGGAUCGCUGCUGAUUUAACUGACUCAACAUGCAUCUGCUAUACAUCACAUAUACUGGGAUGGAAUGAUUGGCGAGUUGUGUAUAUACACGUGUAUUAUGAACCAAAUCCUCCAACGUGUACGAUUGGCAGUGCAAAUGUGAGCAAAGGCGUUUUAAACAUAACCUUAAACUCAAACGUUCGCAUUACUUGUAAAAGUGAUGGGAACCCGUCUCCUGAAAACUUUGUUUGGAUAUUGCCUACAGGCUACACAUUUGAAAGAAAAACACUUUCAUUAAGUCAAAUCCAAUUAUCACAUGAUGGUUUGUACAUUUUAAGUGUUGAGAAUAUCAUGAAGCCUAGCAUUGGAGAGAUUGUCAACGGACGUUCAAAUACAACGUUUGAUAUGAAUAUACAAUAUGGUCCUAGGAGUCUACAGUUUUAUUUUCGUCAAAGUGGAAAGAACAUCACAUCAAGAGUCAUUUAUGUAAUAAAAGGCGAUGAAACCAGUAUUGUCGCCUUUGCUGAUGCACGACCGCAUCCGACGUACAUUUGGUCCAACUUUCAAGUUGGAGAAGAAAUCUCACACGAGUUCCAUUAUGACACGAAUAUUUCUUGCAAUGUUUCAAAUGUUUUAUAUCCAACGGGUUUUAAUACAAUUCAAAAGAGUGUUACAAAAACCUUUCAAGUUCAAGUCCUGUAUCCUCCAGAAGUUCCGAUUCUUAGGUUUAAUACUUGCAACAGUAUGGUAGAAAUUGAAGAUUCGAUUGUUAACGUUGUUUCAAAUCAACUCUUAAUUGUGACAUGUUUUGCAAAAGCAAAGCCGGAACCAUCCUAUAGAUGGAACAACUCACUGGCGAAUGAAUUGUUUAUUGCACAUGUGACAAAAAAUAACUCGGCAACAUACAUUUGCUAUGCAAGUAACACGAUGAUCACGUCGUAUGGAAAAUCUGUUAAAGGUCAAAAUGAGACAUUAUUUAUCCUCGAUGUAAUAUAUCCACCACAAAUAUCAAAUGCUGAAACUAAGUUAGUGGCUAUUGAAGGUUCAAACUUCAGUAUUUAUUGCAAUGUGUCGCUAGGAAAUCCAAGGGAAACCUUUGUAACAUGGAUAAGUGAUUCCGAUGCGGAAGUCGAAAAAGCUGGACAGCUAAUCAACUUUCUGAAUAUUUCUCGAACUGACGAAGGAAAUUUUACAUGUAUUGCAAGAAACAGAAUGAAACCAACUGGCUGCGCAGAAGAAGAUGGAGUCGACAAACAACAAUUUUAUGUCGAUGUUCAGUAUAAAGCAAGAAUACAGAGAUUUGCUGCCUUAUCUGCUACGGUAAAUCAUACGGAGGAAUUAAGUUUUGUGUGUGAUAUAGAUAGUGACCCACCUGCUAGUGUUAGUAUAAUGUCUACAAAUGGAACGACAUUGCAUUUUACACGUGGAAAUAAUCAGCUGCGAUAUAGAAAGAAUAGUUCGUGCUUGGAUGACAACGGCAAUUUCACGUGUACUUCUGAAAAUAAACAUAACGGCGGGUCGCCCGAAAGCAGAAAUGUUACAGUUGAUGUCAGAUGUUCGCCGAUAUACCCCCGUAAUUACUCUCCAGAGACGGUUGUCAAAUCACAAAUUGGAGACCAGACGAUACUAAAUUUCAGUAUAUUUUCAAAUCCCUUACCCACAAGUGUUAUAUGGACAAAUCUUUCAAACAACAUGCAACUUCACGCGAACACAAGUGAAUCUGAUAGAGUAUUUAUAGAUACAAGUGAUGACAUGCGGUCAUCCGUGGUUGUCAUAAAGAGUAUAGAGCCCUGGGAUUCUGGAAAUUACUCUGUGCGUGUAAAAAACGAAUUUGGAAACCUGACCGAAACAUUUCACAUUGUUUUAGACGAAACAUCACCAACAUCUAUCAACUCUGCAAACGUUGGAGGAUCUGGAGGCUGGUGGUUUUGUCAGCACUGCUUUGGUUUUUAUAGCUCUCCUAAUUGUGACAGUCAUAUACGUCUACAAGAAACGGCAGAGUUCUAAACACAACAAUGAUCUUCACGCCAAGAACGACAAUUCUCAGCAUGAUGAAAACGGUUUCAGGUACGAGGAAUUAGCUAUAAUAGGACGACGGACUGGCGAAAAGGAGUAUUCUGAACUUGAUUUCCAAGAGAGAAAAGACAAAACCAAUCAGAACAAACCGUCAGCUGGAAACGAAACGUAUGAGAACCUUAAACUGGGCACACGAUGAAGUAAAACAUCAUUGCAAUGACAUAGACAUCUGCUGUUUCUAUGACGAGUUUUAGCAAAUAUUUUGUUUGUUUGUUUAUAUUGAUUUUGUGUUCUUAAAACUAAGUUCCACUAGCUUUACUGUGUAUUGUUCAAUGUAUCAAUUUCACUUUAAUUGUGUGAUCACUAAAACACCUAAUUUAAACCUCAUUAUAUAACGUGUGCUUCGUCUUCGCUUUUUACUGUUAAAACACCAAUCAAACAAGCUACCUUUUGCAGUUUCCUUGCCAGAAUGCUUUCCCUGAUCACGGCACAAACAUGUUUUUCUCCGUCGUUGACAAACAUAAAUAUAAAAAACGUAAGUGAUGAUCCCUGCAGCGGUUCAUGAAUUUUUAUGUCGAUUCACAGACAAUAAACCAUUGUCAUCUAUUUGAUGAAUCUGUUUAAUCACACAAGAGAAGGAAAAGCUCUCAUACUCAUUUACAAAUGCAUACACUAUCCGUGGCGAUUAGUGCAUAUAUUUCAGAAAUUGCCAAAUACACGUUCAAUUGACCUCAUCUAUGAUGCCUGGAUGCAAACGAGUUGGCUUAUUUGCUGACACAUACCAUAACAGAACAAUGUCAUAUAAACAUUACCUGCUUUGCUGUAAUGUAACAUUCUGAUAAUUUCCAUAGAUAUAAUCUACUGUUGGUCAAUAUCAUCCAUUAUAUUAUGCCAUAAGAUGGUAUACAAACACAUACUCUGGUCAUCUACAUCAACUAACGAAUAACUCUGCUGAGGUCCAAGUUUUCAGCAGACAGAUCCAUCUUAAUAUCAGUUGUUACAAUAAUUUUAACAAAUAUAUUGUAAUAAAAAAUUGUUCCGUAGAAUACAUGCUACUCGUAUAUUUAGAUCUUAUUAACAAAUAGGGUGAUUUUAAACUGUUUUAAAUAACUUCCAAUUUGUGCUAUGUAAUAUUUAUAAGCAAUUCAAAAACAUUUACUUAUUAUGUCAUCGGGAUGUGUUUUGUUUUCUUCGAGGCUGUGCAAAUGCUUUUCCGUGCAACAAAACUUAGUUCCAUAUCAAUCUCUAUAUUGAAACUGGACUUUAACCUCUAAACUUGUCUGACACAUAAUAUUAUAAUAUGCUACACGAUGUUUUAUU